UACGAAGGGUGCAAGCGUUAAUCGGAAUUACUGGGCGUAAAGCGCGCGUAGGUGGUUUUGUAAGUUGGAGGUGAAAUCCCCCGGGCUCAACCUGGGAACUGCGCUUGUGACUGCACGGCUAGAGUACGGCAGAGGGGGGUGGAAUUCCACGUGUAGCAGUGAAAUGCGUAGAUAUGUGGAGGAACACCGAUGGCGAAGGCAGCCCCUGGGCCGAUACUGACGCUCAUGCACGAAAGCGU
rnacentral:rRNA from 1 species